GACGAACGCUGCGGCGUGCUUAACACAUGCAAGUCGAACGAAAAGAGGGAAAGAGCUUGCUCUUUCCGGAAUUGAGUGGCAAACGGGUGAGUAACACGUAAACAACCUGCCUUCAGGAUGGGGACAACAGACGGAAACGACUGCUAAUACCGAAUAAGUUCCAAGGGUCGCAUGAUCCAUGGAAGAAAAGGUGGCCUCUACCUGUAAGCUAUCGCCUGAAGAGGGGUUUGCGUCUGAUUAGCUGGUUGGAGGGGUAACGGCCCACCAAGGCGACGAUCAGUAGCCGGUCUGAGAGGAUGAACGGCCACACUGGAACUGAGACACGGUCCAGACUCCUACGGGAGGCAGCAGUGGGGAAUCUUCCGCAAUGGGCGAAAGCCUGACGGAGCAACGCCGCGUGAGUGAUGACGGCCUUCGGGUUGUAAAACUCUGUGAUCCGGGACGAAAAGGCAGAGUGCGAAGAACAAACUGCAUUGACGGUACCGGAAAAGCAAGCCACGGUAA
rnacentral:rRNA from 1 species